UUCUUAUCCAGAGAGGUUGAGGGACUGGCCCUAUGAUACCUCGGCAGCGGACAAAUAAGUCUGUGCUAAUUCCAGCAAGCGUAACAGCUUGAAAGAUAAGAA
rfam:Bacillus sp. FJAT-18017 genome.